AUACGUAGGGAGCAAGCGUUGUCCGGAAUUACUGGGUGUAAAGGGAGUGUAGGCGGGACGGUAAGUCAGAUGUGAAAUUUAUGGGCUCAACCCAUAAACUGCAUUUGAAACUGCUGUUCUUGAGUGAAGUAGAGGCAGGCGGAAUUCCUAGUGUAGCGGUGAAAUGCGUAGAUAUUAGGAGGAACAUCAGUGGCGAAGGCGGCCUGCUGGGCUUUUACUGACGCUGAGGCUCGAAAGCGUGGGGAGCAAACAGGAUUAGAUACCCUGGUAGUCCACGCUGUAAACGAUGAUUACUAGGUGUGGGGGGACUGACCCCUUCCGUGCCGCAGUUAACACAAUAAGUAAUCCACCUGGGGAGUACGGCCGCAAGGUUGAA
rnacentral:rRNA from 1 species